rnacentral:lncRNA from 1 species
GAGACCCUCGCGGCCAAGAAUUUGUACGGCGACACGGCUCUUCAUGUCACUGCCGCCGUGGGUAACAGCGAGGUGGCCAAGGAGCUGUUCGACACAAGAGAAGAUCUCAUCGGAGAACAGAACCUGAAGCAGGAGACACCACUUCACAAAGCGGCGUUCUACGGGCAUCAUGACAUGUUCUGGUGCCUGGUGGACGAGGGGAAGGGCUCCCCGCACGAGCGGAGGGAGGACGGCGCCACCAUGCUGCACUGCGCCAUCAUGGGCAACGAGCCGGGUUAGCCAUCAUCACUGGUUUGGUUGGUCUGGCUCAGGCCAGCUGGUUUUAUCUUGUUUCUAUCUUAUUUAUUUAAAGUGUUAUAUGUGGAUCAUACUGCUUCCGCAUCUUUGUUGUGAUGAAGGUGAGUAAGUUGACGCAGGGCUAGCACUGGAGAUUGCAGAGCGUUUUCCAUUGCUGAUCACGUCGAGGAAUACUAUGGCGGUAACCCCGUUGCAGCUGAUGGUGACCGUUCCGGGGUUAUUCCGAAGCCAAAUGGUACUGGGCUGCUUCGAGUCCAUCCUCUAUGGCUGUAAGUGCUGCCAGCCUCUUCCUUCAACUUCCCCAGCGCCUCCCCCUCCCACACCCCACCCCCACCACCCCCCUUGAUUUUUCGGAUUUAUUAUAUGGUUUUGUCUGAUUUGAUCUCUGUUCUUUAUUCUUUCACUUGUCUCCUGCUUCUUCCCUCAAUUCGCCCUUUUGUCGUCACCCUUUCGUCCCUGUUCUUUCUUCUUCGAGGAGGAGACGAGAAGGAGGAGGAGAGCAAGCGACACAAGGUUGACCAGUUCACUCAUCCAAACUGGCUUAGUGAAUCAUUUCAACAAAUUUGAAACGAAAUUAAUUAGAAUAGGAGGAUAAAAUAGAGGGGCGUGAUAGAAAUCAAUUACUAAUUAUUUUUUAGGUGAAUUACUUUUUGUAUAUAUAUAUAUAUAUAUAUAUAUAUAUAUAUAUAUAUAUAUAUAUAUAUAUAUAUAUUACAAUCCGAUCUAAAAAGAUAAUUGACUUAUUAACUUCAUUAAACUUGGACCAUUGAUCUGAAUAGUUAAGCUCAAAUUAAUAAUAAUACACUCAUCAAAUCCCUAUAAAUUAAUUUUAGAAUUUAUCUAUUUUUUUAUUUUCGAUGUGAAGUAAAAUUAUAAUUGUCCUAAGAAAAAUAUACUUACGAUGAAACUUAAACAUCAAGCGUUUUGAUACCAGCAGUGUACAUGCUCCUAAAAUUUUGAUCUUACAUUUCAGUUAUUCCUUUGGAGAAGGACUCACACAGGACACGUCAAAGAGAUGAAGAGGAGGCAAGUGGAAGCUCCAACGAUGCCGGUGUAUGUGAUUCAAAUCAUCAACAUCUUUUCCAUCACAAUAUCAAUAGUCCACUAUUGUCUCUCUCAUUUGUUUCUCACUUUGGCGUUUACAUAUAUAUAAUCUCAAGCAAGCUGAAGCCACAGAGCAAGAUGACCACGAAUAUUUCGGGAGGCAGAGAACAAUUCGUUCGAGAUUUCCAUCUUGCUGCUGUACUCUCGUUGACAGAUUAGUCAUCCCAGGCACUCCUACUAGCUUCUCUGUCUACAAUUUUUGUAGUCAUCCAUGUUCUGUUUCACUACGCUGAUGUUUUCCUUUUUGUCCUUGCAGUCAAAUGGGUUCAUCUGUUUCUUUUCAUCAUUUUAAAGACUUGUGAGUAAUUGUUCCCAAACAGUGCAUUGAUGAUAUUUAGAGUCAUGUCCUACUGUUUCAUUACGAGUUUUAGCAAAUUAGGAUAGUACUAUAGAAAAGGCUUCUUGUAAUUUAGUUCUCCAAAACCAAGUAGUUUACAUGAUGGAUAAUCAUAGCUAAUUUUCGGAAAAUCAUAAAUGGGAUGAUCAUGUCGCUGACUUCUUCUGAUGUUAAUUUGGAAAUGCAAUGCGUUAUGCAGUGUACCCUCGAACCCGACAUCUGGAGAAGAUUAAGAGAACCCAUAGAAAAGCCUUGGAACUCAUCGAAUUUUUAGCCCGCGACCCGAGAAACAUGGAGUUCUACGUGCUGGGAAGAAAACAAGGUGACGGCGGAGCUCCUGCGGCAGGCUUUCGAGAAAGAGGUGAGGGACAAGAUCAACUUAACACACCAGCUGCGUCUACCAGAAGAUGGAACGAGCCACCCUUGAUCUUGGGUGCACAAAUGGGCAUUCCCGAGUUCGUCAGUACCAUCUUACGAGUGUGUCCGGAGGCAGCUACCUACCUGGACACCCGUGGCCGAAGCGUUCUCCAAGUAGCAAUAGAGCAUGGUAACCGAGAGAUUGUGAGAACUAUACGUGAGAUGAUUCGGGGGAAGAAUCCCAUACUACCAUCCUGGCUACUGUCCCGCGUCGACAAAAGGACCGGAAGAACCAUCCUGCACUUGGCUUCGGCAACUGCCCCCGAGCAUAACCAAGAUGCUCUACAAAUGCAAGAUGAAUUAAGAUGGUUUGAGGUCAAGUCCCUGACUUCAUUAACUACAAAUAAAUCAUUAUAUUCUCAGAGUUGCCUGCUAAAUUUGAUCGUUUUCUGACAUUUGAAUGCAGACGGUGAGAGAUAUGGUUCCUAAGGAAUUAGUGUACAGUCGGAACGCGCAAGAGAUGACCGCAGAAGAGAUGUUUACUGAGAGUCACCGGGAGAUGCUCAAGAGUUGCAAGGGUCAACUAAUGGAAACGGGCAGGACGUGUUCAGGGCUUGUCGCUGCUGUAGUGUUCGCGUCGAGCUUCUCCAUCCCCGGCGAUAAGGACCCAGCGACCGGCAACCCGGUUUACUUCGGUAGGGCAGCUUUUACGGUCUUCUCACAUUUUUACGUGAUUGGGUUGUCAUGCGCCGCCACAUCUCUGGUGUUGUUCUUAUCCCUCGCCAUGUCACCGUACAAGGAGCAGCAGUUCCGUCGUAUCAUCCCAACCAAAUACUUCUUUGCCCGCUCGUCGUUUGCGAUGGCGAUGCUGUCUUUUCUGGUGGCGUUCACCUGCAACAUCUACCUACAGAUAUAUGGCUGGCAGAAGGCGAAGUCGAAGGACUUGAUUCCAUUCGUAUUGGAGCUCACCGUCUUCCCCGUCAUCUGUUCCCUGGUGUUGUUCUUUCGUGGCUCCGAUUUCGGUCUAUCUUUCCUUGUUCGUCUUUGGGGUUGAGUCAACAAGCAUGAUCGUCCACAUCUUUGGAAUCUGCAGCUUCAUGAUGCACGUGGGUUCUACCUAUUGCGGGUAUGCCACCUGUUCUAGUGGUGUGUGGUGGUGGUAGUCAUUGGACAGUUAAUAACUUGUGUGUACAAGCAGCGACAAAGGCUUGUGAUGUAUGGACGCUAGUUGAUUGCAACUUUAAUGUGUUCUUUUCUUCUAUCUUAAAUUAGAUGAUGAUAUAGGCGCAGCGGUAGACAACAGAUCCGAUCACCAAUAAUGGUGAUGUCCCUCUCUAUUGUUUUUGACGAAGUCAAUAUGACAUAACUGUUGACCGGAUCUUACCCUGUAUUGUCAUGUAAAUGUCACAUGUCGAGUGACAGAUUUCCCCUAUCGUAUGGACGUCCUUUGGUUUUCCCAGAGGUCGGCUAGAACAUAGGCUCGAGUCUUUUUGAAUAUUCUGUGACAAAUCACAUAGUCCAUAUCGUAAAGUUUUGGCCCACCAAAGUUUGCACAGGCAAACGAAAUGAUUGGCUUAUAGAAGCCAAUCAUUCAAUAAGUGAAGGACAUCAAUUUUGGAUUAAAAAAAUAUCAACAAAAUACAAAUCACCUUUAUAGAAAGGAAAGAAAACUCUCCGUGGAGAGCUUUAUUGCACUCCUUCCCAUCCAUCAUCUAUGGAGUCAAAUAAGAAAGAUUCAAGAGAAGAUAGGAAUGGUCCGAGUGAAGAAGACAAACUAACGAGCAGCAAUGCUCGUCUAUUCCAAAGACCUGCCACGAGAAUAAUACAGCGAGAAAAAAAGAAAGAAAAGGAAGAAGCUUAUUUAUGAGGUGCGAAAGGUGAUGGACAUCCGAUUCACGCCGUUGCAGCUGAUGGUUACCAUCCUCUUCCGAAGCCAACUUGUGCUCGGCUCCUUUGAUUCCUUGCUCGCCCUUUCCCAAUUACUUUUUACAUAAAAUUAAUAUAUUUUAUGUAAAAAUAUAUUAAAUUUUAUAAAAUAUAUUCUAAAUUAUUCAAAAUAUAUUAUUACACUCUCAUUCAAAGAACGUGUUAAAAAAAAUAUUUUUUUUUAUAAAAUUAUCCUAAAUUCAUCAUAAAACUAAUCAUAAAAUUCUACAUCUCUUAUUUUCUAUUUCUUAUAUUGACUUAGUUAUGUUCAAAAUUAAAAUAAAUUAAAUUCGAUUACCUAACCUAUUUUAAUAUUAAUAUUUUUUUUACUUUUAGAUAUAUCUAGAAUAAUUAAUUAUCAAAACUUUGAGAAUUCUACUAUAAUUUGAUUCUAACAAAAUUAUAAUAAAUUUAUAUAAAAAUUAAUAUAUCUUAGUAAAUUCGAGUGUAACUUGGAUGUAAGAGAUUUGGCUUAACUUGAUUCUACUGGAUUCGAAGGGAUCCGACCCAAAUCGAUCUAAUUCAGAUCGAAUCAACCUGCUAAUCAGUCAGGUUUAAAAUAGUCUAUUUCAAAAGUAUUAUCAAAAUUUUUAAAGAAAAUCACCUUUUGUAUGAGCUUUUAUCUUUAUACAUACAAAGUAUCCUAUUAAACAUGAGGUAUUACAAAAAAAAAAAAAAAAUCCCUCUCCAAAGACCUCCUGUCAUGUCAACUCUAGUAAAAUCCCUAUUAACUAGAGAAAGAAGUUCUUCGUUUAUACUAUAGUCGAGACUGCAACCGAUUCAUUGUUAUUUACUCAUUUUCUUUUGGUUCGUUUUCAUGUCAGUGUCAAGCUAUAUGAUAGGUAAACAAGUGUUUGGUACCCUGUCUCCGUUCCACCAUGCGCUGACGUUAUCAGAUUCCCUUUCGCUGAUCUAUAUAUCUUAUUGUCAGAAGACGUGAGACUGAAAGUGAUAUGUUGGAGGAAAGUAUUGAUUAUAUUUCUAUUUAUUAUUGGUUGACCGAUGGAGAUGGUUACUUUACUUGGGAUGUCAUGUUGAGGUAAUUAAAUCAUGCCAACGCAGAUUCGAAUAAUAAAAUUCCUUUAGCUUGUCAUUAAGCAAAAGACACCCACUCGAAGAUAACGUGAUUUGGAGCUACAAAUGAUAACACUGAGAGCAAAAGAUUCAAUAAAGAGAUGUUGCCAUAAUCCCGGGUGCAUAAAAAGAAUCGGAGACCAACCAAAGGGUCAUCAACUCCAAAGACUUGCGAUGAGUAUGAUCUACAAAACCUUUUCUAUAAGGUGCAAGUUGAAUGAUCGGUGGAGACCCACAAGUAGAGGUUUGGGUGCAAGCUUCCGGAUUAUUGUUUCCUGUAGAGCAAGAAUCGUUGACCCACAAGUUAAAGCUACUGUCUAGCUUUAACGUAUGUGAAUUAUUCAUUAGUAGGUUGGCCUCUGUAACAUACGAUUAAUUUGUUGUCGAAUCUUUUGUGACUGAGAUGAAAACGGAGACCAACCAAUGGGUUCUCAACUCCGAAGACUUGCGAUGAGUAUGACCUACAAAAACCAAGGGGGAAGGAGGUGUACGACGAUGGAUGAGAGCCAAAAGGAUCAGCUAGUCUGCUUGUUAAGGCAGGCAUUCAGGUUGCUUUAGUUUCGCAGUAGAAAUCUGGAGGCGAAGGCGUACGCACCAUAUAGCAACUGCAUGCUAUGGGGGAUCCCGCCGCUCUUGCCAAUACGGAUUCCAUUCACGACGGCACAGAGGAUGCUGAUCCACUGCAUGUUCUCAACAGGAGACAUUUUCUCACGGUGAAGUCUCAUUUCCGUCGGAAGAGGCACGAGGCACUCUUGGUUCUAGCCGUGGAAGAUCCUGGUCGCCCGGUGAACCUCAUGAACGACACUUUGCUCCACGUCGUCAUAGCUUGCAACAAGACCGACCUCGCCAGAAGUAUUAUCUUGCAGAUGCCAGUGGAGACCCUCGCGGCCAAGAAUUUGUACGGCGACACGGCUCUUCAUGUCGCUGCCGCCAUGGGUAACAGCGAGGUGGCCAGGGAGCUGUUCGGCAGGAACGAAGAUCUCAUCGAAGAACAGAACUUGAAGCAGGAGACACCACUGCACAAAGCGGCGUUCUACGGGCAUCAUGACAUGUUCUGGUGCCUGGUUAACGAGGGGAAUGGCUCCCCGUACGAGCGGAGGGAGGACGGCGCCACCAUGCUGCACUGUGCCAUCAUGGGCAACGAGCCGGGUAAGCGGUCAUCACCAGUUUCGUUGGCCAGCUGCCUUUAUCUUGUUUUUAUCCUAUUUAUUUGAAUUUUUAUAUGUGGAUCAUACUGCUUCCGCAUCUUUGGCGUGAUCAAGGUGAGUGAGUCGAUGCAGGGCUGGCACUGGAGAUUGCAGAGCGUUUUCCAUUGCUGAUCACGUCGAGGAAUACUAUGGCGGUAACCCCAUUGCAGCUGAUGGUGACCGUUCCGGGGUUAUUCCGAAGCCAAAUGGUAAUUGGCGGCUUCGAGUCCAUCCUCCAUGACUGUAAGUGCUGCCCCGCCUCUUCCUUCAACGCCCCCAGCGCCCCGCCCUCCCCCCUGCUUCUCUAUUUAUUGCACUACAUUUCCUACCAACGACUACCUUAAUUUAGCGAUCGUUCGACGUCCAAAUCUAUUGAGAAUUUACCAAGGGGUGUUUUUUUCUCAUUAUCGGAACACAUAUACCCUUGCUUAUUUGGAUUUAUUAUAUGGUUUUGUGUUAAACGCAUCAAAUCUAAUCGGUUGAGUCUGGUUUGCUCUCUGUUCUUUGUUCUUUCACGUCUCCUCCUCCUACCCUCAAUUCACCCUUUGUUUGUCACCCUUUCACCCUUAUUCUUUCUUCUUCAAGGAGGAGGAGCAGAGGAGGAGGAGGAGAGGAAGCGACACAAGGUUGACUGGUUCAUUGAACCGGUUCACUGAUCCAAACUGUUUCAGUGAAUCAUUUCAAAAAGUUCGAAAUGUAAUUAAAUUGGAAUAGGAGGAUAAAGUUAGAAUUUACCAAAAAAACAUUCCUAAAUAAUUUCUGAAUAUAUAUAUAUAUAUAUAUAUAUAUAUAUAUAAUAAUACNNNNNNNNNNNNNNNNNNNNUAUAUAUAUAUAUAUAUAUAUAUAUAUAUAUAUAAAAUCUGAUGUAACGGGAUAAUUGACUUAUUAACUUCACUAAACUUGGAUCAUUGAUCUGAAUAAUUAAGUUUAAAUUAAUAAUAAUACACUUAUCAAAUCUCUAUAAAUUAAUCUUAGUAUUUGUCUAGUUUUAAUUUUCGAUGUGAAGUAAAAUUAUAAUUGUUCUCAGAAAAAUAUAGUUAUGAUGACAAUUAAACAUCAAGUAUUUUGAUACCAACGUACAUGCUCCUAAAAGUUUGAUUUUAUAUUUCAGUAAUUCCUUUGGAGAAGGACUCACACAGGACACGUCAAAGAGAUGAAGAGGAGGCAUCUGAAAGCUCCAACGAUGCCGGUGUAUGUGCUUCAAAUCAUCAACAUCUUUUCCAUCACAAUAUCAAUAGUCCACUAUUGUCUCUCUGAUUUGUUUCUCACUUUGGCGUCUACAUAUAUAUAAUCUCAAGCAAGCUGAAGCCACAGAGCAAGAUGACCACGAAUAUUUCGGGAGGCAGAGAACAAUUCGUUCGAGAUUUCCAUCUUGCUGCUGUACUCUCGUUGACAAAUUAGUCAUCCCAGGCACUCCUACUAGCUUCUCUGUCUACAAUUUUUGUAGUCAUCCAUGUUCUGUUUCAUUACGCUGAUGUAUUCCUUUUUGUGCUUGCAGUCAAAUGGGUUCGUCUGUUUCUUUUCAUCAUUAUAAGGACUUGUGAGUAACUGUUCCCAAACAGUACAUUGAUGAUAUUAAGAGCCAUGUCCUACUGUUUCAUUACGAGUUCUAGCAAAUUAGGAAAGUACUAUAGAAAAGGCUUCUUGUAAUUUAGUUCUCCAAAACCAAGUAGUUUACAUGAUGGAUAAUUAUAGCUUAUUUGCGGAAAAACAUAAAUGGGACGAUUAUGUCGCUGACUUCUUCUGAUGUUAAUUUGGAGAUGCAAUGCGUUAUGCAGUGUACCCUCGAACCCGACAUCUGGAGAAGAUUAAGAGAACCCAUAGAAAAGCCUUGGAACUCAUCGAAUUUUUAGCCCGCGACCCGAGAAACAUGGAGUUCUACGUGCUGGGAAGAAAACAAGGUGACGGCGGUGCUCCUGCGGCAGACCUUCGAGAAAGAGGUGAGGGACAAGAUCAACUUACCGCACCGGCUGAGUCAUACAGAAGAUGGAACGAGCCACCCUUGAUCUUGGGUGCACAAAUGGGCAUUCCCGAGUUCGUCAGGACGAUCUUACAAGUGUGUCCGGAGGCAGCUACGUAUCUGGACACCCAAGGUCGAAGCGUUCUCCAAGUAGCAAUACGGCAUGGUAACCGAGAUAUUGUGAGAACUAUACGUGAGAUGACUCGAGGGAAGAAUCCCAUACUACCAUUCUGGCUACUGUCUCGCGUCGACAAAGGGACCGGAAGAACCAUCCUGCACUUGGCUUCGGCAACUGCCCCCGAGCAUAACCAAGAUGCUCUACAAAUGCAAGAUGAAUUAAGAUGGUUUGAGGUCAAGUCCCUAACUACAUUAACUACAAAUAAAAUCUUUACAUUCUCGGAGUUGCCUACUAAAUUUGAUCGUUUUCUGACAUUUUUAUGCAGACGGUGAGAGAUAUGGUUCCUAAGGAAUUAGUGUACAGUAGAAACGCGGAAGAGACGACCGCAGAAGAGAUGUUUACUGAGAGUCACAAAGAUUUGCUCAAGAGUUGCAAGGUUCAACUAAUGGAAACGGGCAGACUGUGUUCCGGGCUGGUCGCAGCUGUAGUGUUCGCGUCAAGCUUCUCAGUCCCCGGCGAUAAGGACCCAACCACCGGCAACCCGGUUUACUUCGGUAGGGCAGCUUUUACGGUCUUCUCACACACGUACGUGUUUGGGCUUUCAUGCGCCGCGACAUCUCUGGUGUUGUUCUUAUCCCUCGCCAUGUCACCUUACAAGGAACAGCAGUUCCGUCGUAUCAUCCCAAUCAAAUACUUCUUUGCCCGCUCGUCGUUUGGGUUGGCGAUGCUGUCUUUUCUGGUGGCGUUCACCUGCAACAUCUACCUACAGAUAUAUGGCUGGCAGAAGACGAAGUCGAAGGACUUGAUUCCAUUCAUAUUGGAGCUCACCGCCUUCCCUUUCAUCUGUUUCCUGGUGUUAUUCUUUUAUGGCUCCAAGUUCGGUCUAUCUUUUCUUUUUCAUUCUUGGCGUUGAGUCAACAAGCAUGAUCGUCCACACGAAUCUGGCAGGUUCAUGAUGUACGUGGGUUGUACCUAUUACGGUAUGUCGCCUGUUCCAGUGGUAUGCGGUGGUAGAAGUCAUUGGACAGUUAAAUAUCUUGUGUGUACAAGCAGCAACAAAGGCAUGUUAUAUGUGGCCGCUAUUUGAUUGUAACUUUAAUGUGGUCUUUUCUUCUAUCUUAAAUUAGAUAAUGAUAUAGGCGCCACGGUAGACAACAAAUCUGAUCACCAAUAAUGGUGAUGGCCCAUCAAUACUGAAUAAUGGUGAUGGCCCUGCCUAUUGUUUUUGGACUAAUGUCCAUAUGACAUAGCUGUUGAUGGGAUCUUAUCCUCUCACCGUUGACUGUAUUGUCAUGUAAGAUAUGCAUGGACGUCCUUUCGUUUUCCCAGAGAUCGGCUAGAAGAUAGGAUCGAGUCUUAUUGAAUCUUCUGUGACAAUCAAGUAGUCUUUAUCGUACAAUUUUGGCCCACCAAAGUUUGCACAGGCAAACGAAAUGAUUGGCUUAUAGAAGCCGAUCGUUCAAGAAGUGAAGGACGUCAAUUUUGGAUUGAAAAAAGAUCAUUUAGCUUUUCAAAAAAGAAAAAGAAUAACCUUUAUAAAAUGGAUAGAAAACUCUCCGUGGAGGCCUUUACACCGCUCCUUAGCAGCAUCCAUGGACUGGAGUCAAUAAGAAACAUUUAAGAAAAGAUAGAAACAGACGUAUCGUUGUCCAAAGAGUGAAGAAGACAAACUAACCACAAGCAAUGCUCGUCUAUUUUAAUGACCUGUCACAAGUCUAAUACAGCCACAAAACAUUAAAAAAAAGGAAGAAGCUUGUUUAUGAGGUGCCAAAGGUUAUGGACAUCUAUCUGAUUCACGCACGGAAUGGUCACCAUCCCCGAGCACCUCUUUCGAAGCCAAUUGUUUGGUCGGCACCUUUGAUUCCUUUCUCUGUAUCUGUCCAAGUGCUGCUCGCCCUUUCUCAAGUACUUUCUAAUCCUCUAUCCAUCUCUCCAUUUUUAUUUUUCUACUUUUACUGUUAUAAUAAGUUUUUUAAAUUAUUUUUAUUACAUUAAAUUACAUAUAAGACAUCCUUAUAUAAACAUAUCAUUAUAUUGCCACGACUAUAUAGACGCUUAUUCUAUAUACAAACUAGAAAUAGACAAAAGGAUACCAAUAAAAUAAAGAGACACCGCAAUAAGAAUCGGAUUUGGUAAAGUAUUUUCCUCAAACGAGCUUGGAGGAUCGGAUAAGAGUUUUGUAAAGAGACCACUGCUCCUGAAAUGAAAACCAAUCGUCGUGCUUUCAAUUAAUAAAACCAAUCAUGCAUACCGUUUUCUAAAGUGUUCAAUGAGGAGACAACAUAAGUAAUUGUCAGUUCACGCAUAUUACUUACCGUACGCAGAAGGAGGCGUAGGUACGUCGGUCGAUGGUCACUUGAUCUCCUUCCUGGCCAUCAUAUAAAGGGAGGCCUUCAGGUGCUCAUCUAAGACCACCAAGGGUACGUGAAGGUUGAAGACGUAGCCAUGGAUCCUUCGGGAAGCCAUUCGGCCCUCGCAACAGAUAACAGUGAUGACGAGAAUAGACGACCUAGCGUCUUCGACGUGGAUCACUUUUGCACCGUGACGUCUCUGAUUCAGCAGGAGAAGUACGAGGAUCUAUUACCCCUAGCCAUGAAGAAGGAUCCUCCACUCAACCUCAUGGAGGACCCUGUGCUCAACGUCGUCAUCGAAUACAAGAAGACCGACCUCGCCAAACGGCAGAUUCAAAACAUGCCCGCGGAGAAGAAGCCCGCGGAGAAGCCCGGACCGCUGUGGUACGCUAAUUACCACGGCGACACGGCUCUCCAUGUCGCGGCCACCGUGGGUGACCUCGACGUGGCCAAGGCGUUGGUCUGGAAGAACUCAGAACUCAGAACUCGUCAGUGCACGCAACUGGAAGAACGAGACACCGCUGCACAAAGCGGCGCUGUACGGGCACGAGACGAUGUUCUGGGACCUGGUGGAAAUGGGGUCGCACGCCCCGGACGAGCGGAGGGAGGACGGCGCCACCGUGCUGCACUGUGCCAUCAUGGGCAGCGCGCCGGGUGAGUUGUAAUCAAUUCCAGGAAGCCAUAGUCAUAUAUAGCUCCUUUCUUGUUUUCCAAAAAUAUGUUUACAUAGUUGAAUUGUAAUGUAGCUUUAGCACUGAAGAUUGCCAAGACAUAUCCACCGCUGAUCACGUCGCGGAAUGAUGAUGCGGUGACUCCGAUGCAGCUGACGGUGACAAUUCCAGGGUUAUUCCGAAGCCUAACGAAUCUUGGGCCCUUAGAGGCCGUAAUUUAUAAGCGUGAGUCGUAAUGUAAUUUCUAGGAUUUACAUCACCAUAAAACAUUCACAGCAUGUAGUUAUGGUAACUAAGGCUUUGUUACAUCAAAUAAAAGCACACCAAUAUGCAUGCUAGCUCUUGAAACUUCAUGGCUGUAUACUUUGAUUGCAAUGUUGCAGUGAUUCCAUACGAAGACUCCAGCGAGCCACGUGCAGUAGAUGAAGAGACAACCAGGGUCUCGAGCGCUGUUGAAGUAUGUGCUUCCGGAUGAAUCAUUUUGUUUUGCAUGAUGGCAUUGAUAUAGUUCAUGAGGUCGAUAGCAUCUUUUCUACUACUUGUCAAUAAUAUUUAUCACAAAAUUUAAGAGCAGUUUUUUCCUCAAACUAGACAAUAUAAAGUUUGAUCUACCAUGUGUUAGAAAUUUUUGUAAUAUCAGUCGAAGUCAUUCUGGUUAGGGUUAACGAAUUACCCUUUUAGGAUAUUUCUAUUCAUCUCACACAUAUGAAUAUGGGUUUUGAAAGUCUUUCACAUAUUCACAAAGGUUUAAACUUAAUACAUGUAACUCAAUUUUUAAGUCUUUCUCUUCUUUGAAGGGUUCAAACUUUGAGUUCAUAUAUUUUUUAACUUUACGAUACGGUUCACAUAUCUACAUCUAUCCAAUGGUACGACUCAUCUACAUUCAGUGGCUGGAAUAUUAUGUAAUUUUUUUUUAGAAACGAUAAGUUUGAGCCAUAUUCUAGUUAGGGUUAAUGUAUAUUAGGUCAUACGUCAUACAUCAAUUGAAUCUAGAAACUUUGAUUAUUAUAUUAUCAAUCAAAUUUAGUAUAUGUAACUAGACUCUUUCAAUUAUUAGUAACAUGAGACUAUCCUCUUAGAAUAUUUCUUUUCAUCUCAUAUAUGAUUUGUCCCUGCACGAGUAUUAUUUCCUUGUAUUGUCUCUGACGUUGGCGUCUACAUGUACUUAAUAAGGGAGGUGCAAAAUAUAUCAAGCGAAAGGUUGUGUCUCUUCUGCCCCCCAAAACGUUUCGUUCGAAAUUCCCAUCUCACUACAGCAGUCUCUUUGACCUGCGGGAAUUGAUGUUCAUCCCAGGUACUCACUCCUACGAGCUUCUCUAUUUACAUUUCUUACCUGGAUCUUAUUGUUGGAUCACAGUACUACACUGAUUCGUGCUUCUGUUGAUGCAGCCAGAUGGGUUCAUUUGUUGCUUUUCCGCAUUCUAAAGCAAUGUAAGUCAUUGUUCGUGGAUGGAUGCAUGAUGUUUAGACAUGUUGUCCUUUUCCAAUUAAUGUUAGUGGAAUUGCAAUGCAUCAUGCAGUGUUCCCUAUGAUCGAACGUCUGGAGAAGCAAAAGAAAACCCACAAGGAAACCUUGGAACUGAUCGAGUUCUUAGCCUAUUAUCCUAGGCACAUGGAGUUCUAUUCCAAGGGAAGACGAAAAGGCAAGGAGGAAAGUCUUCUUGUUGGAGACAUCACCAGUUCUACAACAAGACAGUCUCCUCCGUCAACAGACGCUGGUGAAGGCCAAGGAGUAAAUGGAGGAGGGAACCGAGAUCAAGACUUUGAUAGGUUUGCGGAAAAGCUAUUUAUGUAUAUGUCGCACAAGGAUGCCAAUCACGAAGCAGUAGCAAAAGAGCUCAAGAAGAGCAUGAAGGAGUCGAUGGAGGAAGUGUCCGGUGAAUCCACAAUUAGAAGAUGGGACGAGCCGCCCCUGAUCUUGGGUGCACAAAUGGGUCUUCCUGAGUUCGUCAGGACGAUCUUGCUAGUAUGUUCGCAGGCAGCAGCAUACCUGGACACCAAGGGGAGAAGCGUUCUCCAAGUCGCAGUCAUGUAUCGUCGCGAGGAGAUUGUCAAGAUCAUAAUGGACAUGAGAAACAUUUUACCAUCCUGGUUAUUUUCCGAAAUCGAACCCAAAACCGGGAACACCAUCGUGCAUCUUGCUUCACGUGGAAGCCCUGAUGUAGCAAAGGAAGCGCAAGACGAACCGGAUGCAAUGCAACUGCAUUACGAUUUAGUAUGGUUUGAGGUAAAGUUGCUAAACUUUUUUGCCCCCCUCCUCAAAUUUUGACAUGCUUCUCAAAAGUAUUAUCCGUUCAAUUCUUUGACAUGCAUUCUUCGGUGUCGGUUGUGGGUUAUUCGCGCAUAAUACAAAAUAACCAACAAAUACACAAAUAAAAUCUACGUAUUCUCAGAGUUGCGUACUAAAUUUGAUCGUUUUCUGACAUUUGAAUGCAGACGGUGAGAGAUAUGGUUCCUAAGGAAUUAGUGUACAGUCGGAACGCGCAAACGAAGACCGCAGAAGAGAUGUUUACUGAGAGUCACCGAGCGAUGCUAAAGAGUUACAAGGGUCAACUAAUGGAAACGGGCAGGACGUGUUCAGGGCUUGUCGCUGCUGUAGUGUUCGCGUCGAGCUUCUCCAUCCCCGGCGAUAAGGACCCAGCGACCGGCAACCCGGUUUACUUCGGUAGGCCAGCUUUUAAGGUCUUCUCACAUGCGUACGUGAUUGGGUUGUCAUGCGCCGCCACAUCUCUGGUGUUGUUCUUAUCCCUCGCUAUGUCACCUUACAACGAGCAGCAGUUCCAUCGUAUCAUCCCAACCAAAUACUUCUUUGCCCGCUCGUCGUUUGCGAUGGCGAUGCUGUCUUUUCUGGUGGCGUUCACCUGCAACAUCUACCUACAGAUGUAUGGCUGGCAGAAGGCGAAGUCGAAGGACUUGAUUCCAUUCGUAUUGGAGCUCACCGUCUUCCCCGUCAUCUGUUUCCUGGUGUUGUUCUUUCGUGGCUCCGAUUUCGUCUUUGGGGUUGAGUCAACAAGCAUGAUCGUCCACAUCGUUGGAAUCUGCAGCUUCAUGAUGCACGUGGGUUGUACCUAUUACGGUAUGCCACCUGUUCUAGUGGUGUGUGGUGGUGGUAGUCAUUGGACAGUUAAUAACUUGUGUGUACGGGCAGCGACAAAGGCAUGUGGUGUAUAGACAACAGAGCUGGUCACCAAUAAUGGUGAUGGGCCUCUCUAUUGUUUUUGACGAAGUCAAUAUGACACAACUGUUGACCGGAUCUCACCCUGUAUUGUAAUGUAUACUGUCACAUGUCGAGCGACAGAUUUCCCCUAUCGCAUGCAAAUUGCAGUGAGAUGUAUGGACGUCCUUUUGGUUUCCCAGAGGUCGGCUAGAAGAUAGGCUCGAGUUUUAUUGAAUCUUCUGUGACAAAUCACAUAGUCUAUAUCGUAAAGUUCUGGCCCGCCAAAGUUUGCACAGGCAAACGAAAUGAUUGGCUUAUAGAAGCCAAUCAUUCAAGAAGCGAAGGACAUCAAUUUUGGAUUAAAAAAAUAUCAACAAAAAAAAAAUUCACCUUUGUAGAAAGGAAAGAAAACCCUCCUUCGCAUCAUCUAUGGAGUCGAAUAAGAAAGAUUUAAGAAAAGAUAGAAAUGAUCCGAGUGAAGAAGACAAAUUAACGAGCAGCAAUGCUCGUCUAUUCCAAAGACCUGCCACGAGAAUAAUACAGCGAGAAAAAAUGAAAAGAAAAGAAAAGAAAGAAGCUUAUUUAUGAGGUGCGAAAGGUUAUGGACAUCCGAUUCACACUGUUGUAGCCGAUGGUUACUAUCCUCCUCCGAAGCCAACUUGUGCUCGGCUACUUUGAUUCCUUUCUCUAUGACUGUCUCAAGUGCCGCUCGUCCUUUUCCAAUUACUUUUUAUAUAAAAUUAAUAUAUUUUAUAUAACAAAAGAGUAAUUUAUAUAUAUAAAAAAAUUAUUCUAAAUUAUUCAAAAUAUAUUAUUACACUAUCAUUCAAAGAAUGUGUUGCAUAUUAAUUUUUUUUAUAUAUAAAGAAUCCUAUUAAACAUGAGGUAUUACAAAAAAAAAAUAGCUCUCUCCAACAACCUCCUGUCAUGUCAACUUCUAGUAAAAUCCCUUUUAGCUUGAGAAAAGAAGUUCUUCGUUAAUACUAUAAUUGAGACUGCCACCGCAAGUAAAACCAGUGUUUGGUACCCUGUCUCCGUUCCACCAUGCGCUGACGUUAUCAGAUUCCCUUUCGCUGAUCUAUACAUCUUAUUGUCAUAAGACGUGAGACUGAAAGUGAUAUGUUGGAGGAAACUAUUAAUUAUAUUUCUAUUUAUUAUUGGUUGACCGAUGGAGAUGAUUACUUUACUUGAGAUGUCAUGUUGAGGUAAUUAAAUCAUGCCAACGCAGAUUCGAAUAAUAAAAUUCUAUUAGCUUGUCAUUAAGCAAAAGACACCCACUCGAAGAUAACUUGAUUUGGAGCUACAAAUGAUAACACUGAGAGCAAAAGAUUCAAUAAAGAGAUGUUGCCAUAAUCCCGGGUGCAUAAAAAGAAUCGGAGACCAACCAAAGGGUCGUCAACUCCAAAGACUUGCGAUGAGUAUGAUCUACAAAAACUUUUCUAUAAGGUGCAAGUUGAAUGAUCGGUGGAGACCCACAAGUAGAGCUUUGGGUGCAGGCUUCCGGAUUAUUGUUUCCUGUAGAGCAAGAAUCGUUGACCCACAAGUUAAAGCUGCUGUCUAGCUUUAACGUAUGUGAAUUAUUCAUUAGUAGGUUGGCCUCUGUAACAUACGAUUAAUUUGUUGUCGAAUCUUUUGUGAAUGAGAUGGAGGGUGCUUAAUUUGUUAGUGAAAGAAAAGUCAAUAAUGAGAAAAAGGGCAGAGAAGAAAACGCAAGAUGAAAGCUCAUCUGGAGAGUUCUUCAUGGCAGUGCCACUUUAAGAGGGGAGAUAGGUUGGAAGGGGUCCAAAGGGGAUCUGUACUAAACUUGGAACGGUUUAGCUGGUUUGAGCAAAGAAUCCGACGCCAUUUUCCGACACUAAGCGACGCCAAUCGACUGAAAAGGAGGGAGGCGUACGACGAUGGAUGAGAGCCAAAAGGAUAAGCUAAUCUGCUUGUUAAGGCAGGCCUUCAGGUUUCUUUAGUUUCGCAGUAGAAAUCAGGAGGCGAAGGCGUACGAACGAGUUGUACGCACCAUAUAGCAACUGCACCAUAUAUAUUUUUGGUCGGUGAGAACGUAGCGAAAGGAGCGGCUCCCUUCGGUGUGUUUUGGAUAUGACGGCUCCUUCCACCACCCAAAAGCUGACGCCUGCUGCAGAUGUAGGCACCGGAUCAGGGAGAAAAGUAGAGAAACAGCCGUCUGUACCCGGGAAAUCGCAGCCUGCACACGGCGCAGGUGGUGGUGGAUCAGAGGAGCCACCGCAUGCCCUGGACGUGGCACGCUUCCGCCGGCUGAACUCGCUCAUCCACCGUGAGAACGUGGACGCGAACAAACUCCUGCGUCUAGUGGAGCAGGAUAACCACGUGAACCUCAUGAACGACCCCUUGCUCAGCGUCGUCAUCGCCUGCAAGAAGCCCAAGCUCGCCUGCAGCCUCAUCGACAAAAUAUCAUCAAAUGACAUUCUCAAGGCCAGCAACUUAAACGGCGACACGGCGCUUCACGUAGCUGCCGCCAUGGACGACAAAGAAGUGGCCUCGAAGCUGAUCGACAGGGUGCCAGAUCUCGUUCAUAUGCAGAACGUGAAACAGGAGAUACCGCUACAUAAGGCGGCGCUGUACGGGCUGCUGGACAUGUUCUGGCUGCUGGUGGAAAAUAACAGCUCACCGAAAGCCCGGAGGGAGGACGGCGCCACCAUGCUGCACUGUGCCAUCAUGGGCAACGCGCCGGGUAAGCGAUCAUCACCAGUUUUGUUGGUCUGGCGCUGGCCAGCUGUCUUUCUCUUGUUUUUAUCCUAUUUUUUUGAAGUGUUGUAUGUGGAUCAUACUGCUUCCGCAUCUUUGGUGUGAUCAAGGUGAGUGAGUCGACGCAGGGCUUGCACUGGAGAUUGCAAAGCGUUUUCCAUUGCUGAUCACAUCGCGGAAUACUAUGGCGGUAACCCCGUUGCAGCUGAUGGUGACCGUUCCGGGGUUAUUCCGAAGCCAAAUGGUAAUUGGCGGCUUCGAGUCCAUCCUCCAUGACUGUAAGUGCUGCCCCGCCUCUUCCUUCAACGCCCCCAGCGCCCCGCCCUCCCCCCUGCUUCUCUAUUUAUUGCACUACAUUUCCUACUAACGACUACCUUAAUUUAGCGAUCGUUCGACGUCCAAAUUUAUCGAGAAUUUACCAAGGGGUGUUUUGUUUCUCAUUAUCGGGACACAUAUACCCUUGAUUUUUUGGAUUUAUUAUAUGGUUUUGUGUUAAACCGAAUCAAAUCUAAUCGGUCGAAUCUGGUUUGCACUCUGUUCUUUUUUCUUUCACAUGUCUCCUCCUCCUUCCCUCGAUUCGCCCUUUUUGUUGUCACCCUUUCACCCUUAUUCUUUCUUCUUCAAGGAGGAGGAGGAGAGGAAGCGACACAAGGUUGACCGGUUCAUUGAACCGGUUCGCUCAUCGAAACUGUUUUUGUGAAUCAUUUCAAAAAGUUUGAAACGAAAUUAAUUGGAAUAGGAGGAUAAAGUUAGAAUUUACCAAAAAAAAAAACAUUCCUAAAUAAUUUCUGAAUAGAGGGGCGUGAUAGAAACCAAUUACUAAUAAUCUUUUAGGUGAAUUAUUAUUAUUAUUAUUAUUAUUAUUAUUAUUAUUAUUAUUAUUAUUAUUAUUAUUAUAUAUAAAUAUAAUAUGGUGUAACGGAAUUAUUGACUUAGUAACUUCACUGAACUUGGAUCGUUGAUCUGAAUAAUUAAGUUUAAAUUAAUAAUAAUACACUCAUCAAAUCUCUAUAAAUUAAUCUUAGAAUUUGUCUACUUUUAAUUUUCGAUGUGAAGUAAAAUUAUAAUUGUUCUCAGAAAAAUAUAGUUAUGAUGAAACUUAAACAUCAAGCAUUUUGAUACCAGUAGUGUACAUGCUCCUAAAAUUUUGAUUUUACAUUUCAGUUAUUCCUUUGGAGAAGGACUCAGACAGGACUCGUCGAAGAGAUGAAGAGGAGGCAAGUGGAAGCUCCAACGAUGCCGGUGUAUGUGAUUCAAAUCAUCAACAUCUUUUCCAUCACAAUAUCAAUAGUCCACUAUUGUCUCUCUGAUUUGUUUCUCUUUUUGGCGUCUACAUAUAUAUAAUCUCAAGCAAGCUGAGGGCACAGAACAAGAUGACCACGAAUAUUUCGGGAGGCAGAGAACAAUUCGUUCGAGAUUUCCAUCUUGCUGCUGUACUCUCGUUGACAUAUUAGUCAUCCCAGGCACUCCUACUAGCUUCUCUGUCUACAAUUUUUGUAGUCAUCCAUGUUCUGUUUCAUUACGCUGAUGUUUUCCUUUUUGUCCUUGCAGUCAAAUGGGUUCGUCUGUUUCUCUUCAUCAUUUUAAAGACCUGUGAGUAAUUGUUCCCAAACAGUACAUUGAUGAUAUUUAGAACCAUGUCCUACUGUUUCAUUACGAGUUUUAGCAAAUUAGGAAAGUACUAUAGAAAAGGCUUCUUGUAAUUUAGUUCUCCAAAACCAAGUAGUUUACAUGAUGGAUAAUUAUAGCUUAUUUGCGGAAAAACAUAGAUGGGAUGAUCAUGUCGCUGACUUCUUCUGAUGUUAAUUUGGAGAUGCAAUGCGUUUAAGAUUAAUUUAGUUCUUCUGAUGAUCAUGUCGGAAAAACAUAAAUGCAGUGUACCCUCGAACCCGACAUCUGGAGAAGAUUAAGAGAACCCAUAGAAAAGCCUUGGAACUCAUCGAAUUUUUAGCCCGCGAACCGAGAAACAUGGAGUUCUACGUGCUGGGAAGCAAACAAGGUGACGGCGGAGCUCCUGCGGCAGGCUUUCGAGAAAGUGGUGGGCGACAAGAUCAACUUAAUGCACCAGCUGCGUCUACCAGAAGAUGGAAUGAGCCACCCUUGAUCUUGGGUGCACAAAUGGGCAUUCCCGAGUUCGUCAGUACGAUCUUACGAGUGUGUCCGCAGGCAGCUACGUACCUGGACACCGGUGGCCGAAGCGUUCUCCAAGUAGCAAUAAAGCAUGGUAACCGAGAGAUUGUGAGAACUAUACGUGAGAUGACUCGGGGGAAUAAUCCCAUACUACCAUCCUGGCUACUGUCCCGUGUCGACAAAGGGACCGGAAGAACCAUCCUACACCUUGCGUCGGCAAAUGCCCCCAAGCAUACCCAAGAUGCUCUACAAAUGCAAGAUGAAUUAAGAUGGUUUGAGGUCAAGUCCCUAACUACAUUAACUACAAAUAAAAUCUUUACAUUCUCGGAGCUGCCUACUAAAUUUGAUCGUUUUCUGACAUUUGUAUGCAGAGGGUGAGAGAUAUGGUUCCUAAGGAAUUAGUGUACAGUCGAAACGCGCAAGAGAUGACCGCAGAAGAGAUGUUUACUCUGAGUCACCAAGCUUUGCUCAAGAAUUGCAAGGAUCAACUAAUGGAAACGGGCAGGCUGUGUUCAGGGCUGGUCGCAGCUGUAGUGUUCGCGUCGAGCUUCUCAGUCCCCGGCGAUAAGGACCCAGCCACCGGCAACCCGGUUUACUUCGGUAGGGCAGCUUUUACGGUCUUCUCACACACGUACGUGUUUGGGCUUUCAUGCGCCGCGACAUCUCUGGUGUUGUUCUUAUCCCUCGCCAUGUCACCUUACAAGGAACAGCAGUUCCGUCGUAUCAUCCCAAUCAAAUACUUCUUUGCCCGCUCGUCGUUUGGGUUGGCGAUGCUGUCUUUUCUGGUGGCGUUCACCUGCAACAUCUACCUGCAGUUAUAUGGCUGGCAGAAGACGAAGUCGAAGGACUUGAUUCCAUUCAUAUUGGAGCUCACCGCCUUCCCUUUCAUCUGUUUCCUGGUGUUAUUCUUUUAUGGCUCCAAGUUCUUUUAUGGCUCCAAGUUCGGUCUAUCUUUUCUUUUUCGUUCUUGGCGUUGAGUCAACAAGCAUGAUCGUCCACAUCCUUCGAAUCUGCAGCUUCAUGAUGUACGUGGGUUAUACCUAUUACGGUAUGCCGCCUGUUCCAGUGGUGUGUGGUGGUGGUAGUCAUUGGACAGUUAAUAACUUAUGUGUACAAGCAGCGACAAAGGCAUGUGAUGUAUGGACGCUAUUUGAUUGCAACUUUAAUGUGGUUUUUUAUCUUCUAUCUUCGAUUAGAUGAUGUCUGCGCAACGGUAGACAACAGAGCUGGUCACCAAUAAUGGUGAUGGCCCUCUCUAUUGUUUUUGACGAAGUCAAUAUGACACAACUGUUGACCGGAUCUCACCCUGUAUUGUAAUGUAUACUGUCACAUGUCGAGCGACAGAUUUCCCCUAUCGCAUGCAAAUUGCAGUGAGAUGUAUGGACGUCCUUUUGGUUUCCCAGAGGUCGGCUAGAAGAUAGGCUCGAGUUUUAUUGAAUCUUCUGUGACAAAUCACAUAGUCUAUAUCGUAAAGUUUUGGCCCGCCAAAGUUUGCACAGGCAAACGAAAUGUUUGGCUUAUAGAAGCCGAUUAUUCAAGAAGCGAAGGACAUCAAUUUUGGAUUAAAAAAAUAUCAACAAAAAAAAAUCACCUUUGUAGAAAGGAAAGAAAACCCUCCUUCGCAUCAUCUAUGUAGUCAAAUAGGAAAGAUUUAAGAAAAGAUAGAAAUGGUCCGAGUGAAGAAGACAAACUAACGAGCAACAAUGCUCGUCUAUUCCAAAGACAUGCCACGAGAAUAAUGCAGCAAGAAAAAAUGAAAAGAAAAGAAAAGAAAGAAGUUUAUUUAUGAGGUGCGAAAUGUUAUGGACAUCCGAUUCACACUGUUGCAGCUGAUGGUUACCAUCCUCUUCCGAAGCCAACUUGUGCUCGGCUCCUUUGAUUCCUUUCUAUAAAGGUUAUGGACAUCCGAUUCACUCGCGCCAUUGCUGCUCGUCCUUUCCCAAUUACUUUUUAUAUAAAAUUAUUAUAUUUUAUAUAAUAAUAUAGUAAUUUUUAUAAAAAAAGUAUUCUAAAUUAUUCUAAAUAUAUUAUUAUACUAUCAUUCAAAGAAUGUGUUGAAUAUUAAUUUUUUUUAUAAAUUUAUCCAAAAUUCAUCAUAAAACUAAUCAUAAAAUUCUACAUCUCUUAUUUUCUAUUUCCUAUAUUGACUUAGUUAUACUCAAAAUUAAAAUAAAUUAAAUUCGAUUACCUAACUUAUUUUAAUAUUAAUAUAUAUAUAUAUAUAUAUAUAUAUAUAUUACUUUUAGAUAUAUUUAGGAUAAUUAAUUAUCAGAACUUUGAGAAUUCUACUGUAAUUUGAUUCUAACCAAAAAAAUACUAGUUUUUUUAUUUUAUAAUAAGUUUAUAUAAAAUUAAUAUAUCUUACUAAAUUCGAGUGUAACUUAGAUUUGGCUCUACCCAACCCGACUCGAUCCGAAAGGAUGCGCCCCAAAUCAAUUUAAUUCAGAUCCAAUCAACCAGCUAAUUAGUUAGGUUUGAAAUAGUCUCGUAUUAUGAAAAUUUUUAAAUAAAAAUAUCCUGAGCUUUUAUAUAUAUAUAUAUAUAUAUAUAUAUAUAUAUAUAUAAAGAAUCCUAUUAAACAUGAGGUAUUACAAAAAAAAUCGCUCUCCAACAACCUCCUGUCAUGUCAACUCUAGUAAAAUCCCUUUUAGCUUGAGAAAAGAAGUUCUUCGUCAAUACUAUAAUUGAGACUGCAACCGAUUCUUUGUUUUUUACUCAUUUUCUUUUGGUUCGUUUUCAUGUCAGUGUCAAGCUACAUGAUAGUUAAACAAGUGUUUGGUACCUUGUCUCCGUUCCACCAUGCUCUGACGUUAUCAGAUUCCCUUUCUGUGAUCUAUGUAUCUUUUUGUCAUAAGACGUGAGACUGUCAGUGAUAUGUUGGAAGAAACUAUUAAUUAUAUUUCUAUUUAUUAUUGGUUGACCGAUGGAGAUGAUUACUUUACUUGGGAUGUCAUGUUGAGGUAAUUAAAUCAUGCCAACGCAGAUUCGAAUAAUAAAAUUCUUUUAGCUUGUCAUUAAGCAAAAGACACCCACUCGAAGAUAACGUGAUUUGGAGCUACAAAUGAUAACAUCGAGAGCAAAAGAUUCAAUAAAGAGAUGUUGCCAUAAUCCCGGGUGCAUAAAAAGAAUCGGAGACCAACCAAAGGGUCGUCAACUCCAAAGACUUGCGAUGAACAUGAUCUACAAAACCUUUUCUAUAAGGUGCAAGUGGAGGUUUGGGUGCAAGCUUCCGGAUUAUUGUUUCCUGUAGAGCAAGAAUCGUUGACCCUCGCAUGGCCAUCCACGUUUAUGGCAUGUAGGUGCUGUCUAGCUUUAACGUAUGUGAAUUAUUCAUUAGUAGGUUGGCCUCACUAACGUACGAUUAAUUUGUUGUCGAAUCUUUUGUGAGUGAGAUGGAGAGUGCUUAAUUUGUUGUGAAAGAAAAAACAAUAAUGAGAAAACUAGCACAGAAGAAAACGCAAGUUGAAAGCUCAUCUGGAGAGUUCUUCAUGGCAGUGCCACUUUAAGAGGGGAUAUGAGUUGGAAGGGGUCCAAAGGGGAUCUGUACUAAACUUGGAACUGUUUAGCUGGUUUGAGCAAAGAAUCCGACGCCAUUUUCCGACUCUAAGCGACGCCAAUCGACUGAGAAGGAGGGAGGCGUACGACGAUGGAUGAGAGCCAAAAGGAUCAGCUAAUCUUGUUGUUAAGGCAGUCCUUUCAGGUUGCUUUAAUUUUGGUGUAGGCAUCUGGCGGCGAAGGCGUACUUACCAUAUAGCAACUGCAUGCUAUGGGGGAUCCCGCCGCUCUUGCCAAUACGGAUUCCAUUCACGACGGCACAGAGGAUGCUGAUCCACUGCAUGUGCUCAACAGGAGACAUUUUCUCGCGGUGAAGUCUCAUUUCCGUCAGAGGAAGCACGAGGCACUCUUGGCUCUAGCCGUGGAAGAUCCUGGUCGCCCGGUGAACCUCAUGAACGACACUUUGCUCCACGUCGUCAUAGCUUGCAACAAGACCGACCUCGCCAAAAGUAUUAUCUUGCAGAUGCCAGUGGAGACCCUCGCGGCCAAGAAUUUGUACGGCGACACGGCUCUUCAUGUCGCUGCCGCCGUGGGUAACAGCGAGGUGGCCAGGGAGCUGUUCGGCAAGAGAGAAGAUCUCAUCGGAGAACAGAACUUGAAGCAGGAGACACCACUGCACAAAGCGGCGUUCUACGGGCAUCAUGACAUGUUCUGGUGCCUGGUGGACGAGGGGAAUGGCUCCCCGUACGAGCGGAGGGAGGACGGCGCCACCAUGCUGCAUUGUGCCAUCAUGGGCAACGAGCCGGGUAAGCGAUCAUCACCAGUUUCGUUGGCCAGCUGCCUUUAUCUUGUUUUUAUCCUAUCCUAUUUAUUUGAAUUGUUAUAUGUGGAUCAUACUGCUUCCGCAUCUUUGGCGUGAUCAAGGUGAGUGAGUAUCGAUGCAGGGCUGGCACUGGAGAUUGCAGAGCAUUUUCCAUUGCUGAUCACGUCGCGGAAUACUAUGGCGGUGACCCCGUUGCAGCUGAUGGUGACCGUUCCGGGGUUAUUCCGAAGCCAAAUGGAACUUGGCGGCUUCGAGUCCAUCCUCCAUGACUGUAAGUGCUGCCCGCCUCUUCCUUCAUCGCCCCCGGCGCCCCGCCCUCCCCCCUGCUUCUCUAUUUCUUUCACUACAUUUCCUACCAACGACUACCUUAAUUUAGCGAUCGUUCGACGUCCAAAUUUAUCGAGAAUUUACCUAAGGGUGUUUUUUUCUCAUUAUCGGAACACAUAUACCCUUGAUUUUUUGGAUUUAUUGUAUGGUUUUGUGUUAAACCGAAUCAAAUCUAACCGGUCGAGUCUGAUUUGAUCUCUGUUCUUUAUUCUUUCACAUGUCUUUCUCCUCCUUCCCUCAAUUCCCCCUUUUGUUGUCACCCUUUCACCCUUAAUUCUUUCUUCUUCAAGGAGGAGAGGAGGAGUAGGCGGAGGAGGAGAAGAGGAAGCGACAGAAGGUUGACCGCUUCAUCGAACCGGUUCGCUCAUUCAAACUGUUUUAGUAAAUCAUUUCAAAAAGUUUGAAACGAAAUUAAUUGGAAUAGGAGGAUAAAGUUAGAAUUUACCAAAAAAAAUUCCUAAAUAAUUUUUGAAUAGAGGGGAGUGAUAGAAAACAAUUACUAAUAAUCUUUUNNNNNNNNNNNNNNNNNNNNUAUAUAUAUAUAUAUAUAUAUAUAUAUAUAUAUAUAUAUAUAUAAUCUAAUCUAACAGAAUAAUUGACUUAUUAACUUCAGGAUCAUUGAUCUGAAUAAUUAAGUUUAAAUUAAUAAUAAUACACUUAUCAAAUCUCUAUAAAUUAAUCUUAGUAUUUGUCUACUUUUAAUUUUCGAUGUGAAGUAAAAUUAUAAUUGUUCUGAGAAAAAUAUAGUUAUGAUGAAACUUAAACAUCAAGCAUUUUGAUUUUACAUUUCAGUUAUUCCUUUGGAGAAGGACUCACACAGGACUCGUCGAAGAGAUGAAGAGGAGGCAGGUGGAAGCUCCAACGAUGCCGGUGUAAGUGAUUCAAAUCAUCAACAUCUUUUCCAUCACAAUAUCAAUAGUCCACUAUUGUCUCUUAUUUGUUUCUCACUUUGGCGUUUACAUAUAUAUAAUCUCAAGCAAGCUGAAGCCGCAGAGCAAGAUGACCACGAAUAUUUCGGGAGGCAUAGAACAAUUCGUUCAAGAUUUCCAUCUUGCUGCUGUACUCUCGUUGACAUAUUAGUCUUCCCAGGCACUCCUACUAGCUUCUCUGUCUACAAUUUUUGUAGUCAUCCAACUUCUGUUUCAUUACACUGAUGUAUUCCUUUUUGUGCUUGCAGUCAAAUGGGUUCGUCUGUUUCUUUUCUUCAUUAUAAGGACUUGUGAGUAACUGUUCCCAAACAGUACAUUGAUGAUGUUAAGAGCCAUGUCCUACUGUUUCAUUACGAGUUCUAGCAAAUUAGGAAAGUACUAUAGAAAAGGCUUCUUGUAAUUUAGUUCUCCAAAACAAAGUAGUUUACAUGAUGGAUAAUUAUAGCUUAUUUGCGGAAACACAUAAAUGGGAUGAUCAUGUCGCUGACUUCUUCUGAUGUUAAUUUGGAGAUGCAAUGCGUUUAAGAUUAAUUUAGUUCUUCUGAUGAUCAUGUCGGAAAAACAUAAAUGCAGUGUACCCUCGAACCCGACAUCUGGAGAAGAUUAAGAGAACCCAUAGAAAAGCCUUGGAACUCAUCGAAUUUUUAGCCCGCGACCCGAGAAACAUGGAGUUCUACGUGCUGGGAAGAAUGCAAGGUGACGGCGGAGCUCCUGCGGCAGGCUUUCGAGAAAGAGGUGGACGACAAGAUCAACUUAAUGCACCAGCUGCGUCUACGAGAAGAUGGAACGAGCCACCCUUGAUCUUGGGUGCACAAAUGGGCAUUCCCGAGUUCGUCAGUACCAUCUUACGAGUGUGUCCGGAGGCAGCUACCUACCUGGACACCCGUGGCCGAAGCGUUCUCCAAGUAGCAAUAGAGCAUGGUAACCGAGAGAUUGUGAGAACUAUACGUGAGAUGACUCAGGGGAAGAAUCCCAUACUACCAUCCUGGCUACUGUCCCGCGUCGACAAAGGGACCGGAAGAACCAUCCUGCACUUUGCUUCGGCAAAUGCCCCUGAGCAUAACCAAGAUGCU